AUUGAACGCUGGCGGCAUGCCUUACACAUGCAAGUCGAACGGCAGCACGGGUGCUUGCACCUGGUGGCGAGUGGCGAACGGGUGAGUAAUACAUCGGAACAUGUCCUGUAGUGGGGGAUAGCCCGGCGAAAGCCGGAUUAAUACCGCAUACGAUCUACGGAUGAAAGCGGGGGACCUUCGGGCCUCGCGCUAUAGGGUUGGCCGAUGGCUGAUUAGCUAGUUGGUGGGGUAAAGGCCUACCAAGGCGACGAUCAGUAGCUGGUCUGAGAGGACGACCAGCCACACUGGGACUGAGACACGGCCCAGACUCCUACGGGAGGCAGCAGUGGGGAAUUUUGGACAAUGGGCGAAAGCCUGAUCCAGCAAUGCCGCGUGUGUGAAGAAGGCCUUCGGGUUGUAAAGCACUUUUGUCCGGAAAGAAAUCCUUGGCCCUAAUACGGUCGGGGGAUGACGGUACCGGAAGAAUAAGCACCGGCUAUCUACGUG
rnacentral:rRNA from 1 species